CCUGAUAGCUCAGUUGAUAAGCAAUCUGCCUGCAAUGCAGGAGACCCAGGUUCAAUCCCUGGGUCAGGA
rnacentral:tRNA from 1 species